UACAGAGGUGGCGAGCGUUACUCGGAUUUAUUGGGUGUAAAGGGCAGGUAGGUGGCUAUGUAAGUUGGGGGUGAAAUCCUGCGGCUUAACCGCAGAACUGCCCUCAAAACUGCAUGGCUUGAGGCCAGCAGAGGAGAGCGGAAUUCCCGGUGUAAGGGUGAAAUCUGUAGAUAUCGGGAGGAACACCAGUGGCGAAGGCGGCUCUCUGGUCUGGUCCUGACACUGAGCUGCGAAAGCUUGGGUAGCAAACAGG
rnacentral:rRNA from 1 species